rnacentral:rRNA from 1 species
GAUGAACGCUGGCGGCGUGCCUAAUACAUGCAAGUCGAGCGAACAGACGAGUAGCUUGCUCCUCUUACUUUAGCUGCGGCCGGGUGAGUAACACUUGGAUAUCCUCCCUAUACGCCUGGGUUAACUUCGAGAAACCGAAGCUAAUACCGGUUCCUAUAUUUAACCGCUUGCUUCAUUAGUUAAAGACGGUUUUUCUGUCGCUUAUAGAUGGAUCCGCGUCGCAUUAGCUAGUUGGUAAGGUAACGGCUUACCAAGGCAACGAUCCGUAGCCGAACUGAGAGGAGGAGAAGCCACACCAGAAUUGAGACACGGUCCAGACCAAUAAGGGAGGCAGCAGUAGGGAAACGUCCGCAAGGGGAGAAAGCCUGACGGAGAAAAGCCGCGUGAGGGAUGAAGGGAUGCGGAUAGUAAAACUAUGCUAUUAGGGAAGAACAAAUGUGUAAGUAACUAGGCACGGCUUGAAGGUACCAAAUCAGAAAGCCACGGCUAACUACGUG